UGGGGAAUUUUGGACAAUGGCGAAAGCCUGAUCCAGCAAUGCCGCGUGUGUGAAGAAGGCCUUCGGGUUGUAAAGCACUUUUGUCCGGAAAGAAAUCCUUGGCUCUAAUACAGUCGGGGGAUGACGGUACCGGAAGAAUAAGCACCGGCUAACUACGUGCCAGCAGCCGCGGUAAUACGUAGGGUGCAAGCGUUAAUCGGAAUUACUGGGCGUAAAGCGUGCGCAGGCGGUUUGCUAAGACCGAUGUGAAAUCCCCGGGCUCAACCUGGGAACUGCAUUGGUGACUGGGCAGGCUAGAGUAUGGCAGAGGGGGGUAAAUUCCACGUGUGAGCAGUGAAAUGCGUAGAGAUGUGGAGGAAUA
rnacentral:rRNA from 1 species